AUUUAUAAGAAUAUGAUGUUGGUUCAGAUUAAGCGCUAAAUAAGGACAUGACACAUGCGAAUCAUACGUUUAUUAUUGAUAAGAUAAUAAAUAUGUGGUGUAAACGUGAGUAAUUUUAUUAGGGAAUUAAUGAACUAUAGAAUAAGCUAAAUACUUAAUAUAUUAUUAUAUAAAAAUAAUUUAUAUAAUAAAAAGGAUAUAUAUAUAAUAUAUAUUUAUCUAUAGUCAAGCCAAUAAUGGUUUAGGUAGUAGGUUUAUUAAGAGUUAAACCUAGCCAACGAUCCAUAAUCGAUAAUGAAAGUUAGAACGAUCACGUUGACUCUGAAAUAUAGUCAAUAUCUAUAAGAUACAGCAGUGAGGAAUAUUGGACAAUGAUCGAAAGAUUGAUCCAGUUACUUAUUAGGAUGAUAUAUAAAAAUAUUUUUAUUUUAUUUAUAAAUAUUAAAUAUUUAUAAUAAUAAUAAUAAUAUAUAUAUAUAAAUUGAUUAAAAAUAAAAUCCAUAAAUAAUUAAAAUAAUGAUAUUAAUUACCAUAUAUAUUUUUAUAUGGAUAUAUAUAUUAAUAAUAAUAUUAAUUUAUUAUUAUUAAUAAUAUAUUUUAAUAGUCCUGACUAAUAUUUGUGCCAGCAGUCGCGGUAACACAAAGAGGGCGAGCGUUAAUCAUAAUGGUUUAAAGGAUCCGUAGAAUGAAUUAUAUAUUAUAAUUUAGAGUUAAUAAAAUUAAUUAAAGAAUUAUAAUAGUAAAGAUGAAAUAAUAAUAAUAAUUAUAAGACUAAUAUAUGUGAAAAUAUUAAUUAAAUAUUAACUGACAUUGAGGGAUUAAAACUAGAGUAGCGAAACGGAUUCGAUACCCGUGUAGUUCUAGUAGUAAACUAUGAAUACAAUUAUUUAUAAUAUAUAUUAUAUAUAAAUAAUAAAUGAAAAUGAAAGUAUUCCACCUGAAGAGUACGUUAGCAAUAAUGAAACUCAAAACAAUAGACGGUUACAGACUUAAGCAGUGGAGCAUGUUAUUUAAUUCGAUAAUCCACGACUAACCUUACCAUAUUUUGAAUAUUAUAAUAAUUAUUAUAAUUAUUAUAUUACAGGCGUUACAUUGUUGUCUUUAGUUCGUGCUGCAAAGUUUUAGAUUAAGUUCAUAAACGAACAAAACUCCAUAUAUAUAAUUUUAAUUAUAUAUAAUUUUAUAUUAUUUAUUAAUAUAAAGAAAGGAAUUAAGACAAAUCAUAAUGAUCCUUAUAAUAUGGGUAAUAGACGUGCUAUAAUAAAAUGAUAAUAAAAUUAUAUAAAAUAUAUUUAAUUAUAUUUAAUUAAUAAUAUAAAACAUUUUAAUUUUUAAUAUAUUUUUUUAUUAUAUAUUAAUAUGAAUUAUAAUCUGAAAUUCGAUUAUAUGAAAAAAGAAUUGCUAGUAAUACGUAAAUUAGUAUGUUACGGUGAAUAUUCUAACUGUUUCGCACUAAUCACUCAUCACGCGUUGAAACAUAUUAUUAUCUUAUUAUUUAUAUAAUAUUUUUUAAUAAAUAUUAAUAAUUAUUAAUUUAUAUUUAUUUAUAUCAGAAAUAAUAUGAAUUAAUGCGAAGUUGAAAUACAGUUACCGUAGGGGAACCUGCGGUGGGCUUAUAAAUAUC
rnacentral:ncRNA from 1 species